GCAGCCCCUGCCGCACGCUGAGACUUUGCUUCAUCCCCAGCUUUACCACCGGAUGCCCAGCUGCACGAACUAAAAACCUGGCAUCCUCAUGAGAGAAAGUUCGGUUACGUCGAGACUUACAUCAUCUGUCUAUAGCAUCUUAUCUCCUCUCUGAGAAAUGACAGUUUUUAAAAAGGUGACCCUGAGAGCAUCCCUGGAAACCACGUGUUGAUGGCGGCAUCCUGGGUCCUUCAGGAACUGUAAGAAGCCCCUCCUCCCUGCCCCUGGCCCGCCAGAUCUUGAACAUCCUCACCUAGAUGCUGUCGCCUUUGCCUUCUUAGAUAUUCAUUAAGGACCUAAUCCUGGUCUCAGGGUGCCUAGAUCAGGAAACCUGUUAAAUCUUGAGUGAGAAAAUUAUACUCUAUAUGAAGACUGUGUGGAUACUCAAGGCUCAAAAUGGGAUUCCAUCUGUAAACUAUUUUAAGAGAAAGUCCCUGUAAAUAUGGGCAGGGGACAGGAUUCUGACUUUUGCUUUCUACCAUUCUGUGUGGAUGGUUUUCUGGUCCUUAUUGAAGGAAUUACAAGAGUAAUAGACAUAUUACUGGGUCAGCAAGUGUGCAUGUGUGUGUUGAGUAGUUCUAGAAGAUGGGCUGAGAGCUGGGUACCCCCUAAACGCACUCUGAAGGACACGUCCAAGCAGCAAGUACCACAACUGAUAAACCUAAACCAAAACGACAGCCUGGCAGCUGGAUGACUUGGGGCAAGGUGGAGCGAAGGGCGCUGGCUGGUUCUCAGUGGCUCCUGUUGGGAGGCCUGGGGCUGGGGGGAGAGGGUCCCAUUUCCUUUCCUCAUCACCUCCAGUUCUCACGGGAAGGAAAUGUGGAUAUGCCGGGAGCUGUAAGCAAAGAGUGAGGCAGGCGUUACUCCUCAGCUUCUCUUCCUUUACAAUAAUCCUGCUCCUUCUUUCUGUAUUCCCACCCGUCCCUCCACCUCCCUGCUCUGACAGGUACCCUCCAAGGGUGUGCUCCUCUUUUGGCCUUUCUUCAGCUCCUUGUGGCCCUCCUGUCUCUCUGAAUUGUCAUCCUGAACGUUUACAGGUGGCCAACGUCCUCUAUGGCUUCUCAGCUGCAUUGGGAAUAUUGCCAACAAACUCUGCCUGGGAAACUGACAUGUCCUUUAUAUCCUCUCCCCAGGGCCAGGUUUCUGGGUUUCAAAAUCCCCCUUAUCUUUCAUAAACAACCACCGAAAUAAGAGUGAAUUUUGAUGGUAACCUUCGUGGGGACAACAUCUGGCCCUGGGGUAGUAACAGGUUUGCUUUGGAUUUGCACAGAGCUGGACUCCAAUCCCAGCCCCUCUCUGGGGGAGUCCUAAAACUUUUCUGAGAUAAUUUACUCUUCUGCACCAAGGAUGAUAAAACUGAUCUUGCAGAAUUUCCACUGAGAUAUUUAUGAAAGUGCCACGUACUAGUUCCUAGCUCAUUACUUUUCUUUCACAGGGUUAUUAAUGAGCUUUAAGUGAGAAAAUAAGUGUGAAAGGGCUUUGCAAUCUAUAAGUUCUCACUACAUGGUAGGUUUUGUUAAUAAUCAUAUAGUAAUACCACUGAUAGUAAAAGUAUAGAUGGGAGGAGGAACAGCUAGAUAUUUUGGAGGUUUGUCAUUUUUAUAAUCUAUGAAUUAUAUCAACAGACAUCAUGACCACAUUUCUAAAACAAACAUCAGGAAUCAUGAUUUGACAAGUCAAAAUGCAUUUGUUGGGACACAGUUAUAAAUAGGAAUUGCUCCCCCGGCCCAAAUUCGAAAUAUACGGUCUCUGUACACAUAAAUGACCAUCUUGCUUCUCUCUCGAGGACUGACCUACAAAUCUCUGUAGCACUGGGAAGAAAUCAGAGUUCUGGGAAAGUGGACCAGUAGUUUAUUUCUACUCUAUACCUGAAAAUCACCGUCCCUAAUGGGCUGGUUGGUAAAGGAAAGAACACUGAGAAAAGACUGUAGCCCCUGGAAGAGAAACAAGCCUGCAGGAACUAAUGGAAUGUUCCAAUUGCCAAUUAAUUUCCGUUCCUAAAGCCCCUGCUGCAGAGGCAUGGGAAUCCAGUCAGAGGAAACAAGCUGCCCUUGUGUAAGUCAGUCUCCUUAGCUGACGUCCGGGACCUUGGGGGCGCCAAGUGGCCAUACUGAGGCUUCCCUCGCAACUUUUCCUGAGGCCUUUGCUUUACCAGGACCUUAGGCUUCGGCUCGUGCCACCGUUUGUCAUUAAUGGGAUUCACACAGCUCUUUUAGAAUUUAAAAAGCAGUUUCACAUCACAAUAUCGGGUCUCCUUGGUAGUUCUUCCCUGGGUCUUUACAAUCACCGUUUUAAAGUAUUACUAUACAGAUGAAGAAAUGGUGGCUUAGCAGUGGAGUAACCCCCAAAAUAACAUUCCAGGAACGCCAGUCCUCCACCCUCUUUAGGCGGUGGGAUCAGUGUGGGCUUUUAGGACGAUGACGCGCAGCCACGUGUCCGAAAACUCCAGUAAAGUGCAAAGCAAAUAUUGAUCUGGAAGGAGGUCCUCCUCCCGGAUCCCGCUCCGCUGACAGCGGGUGUGUGUCCGUGCCCGCGUGGGGCUGUGCCGCGCUUCCGGCUAAGCUAGGGCCUGGCCUGCACCGCGGCGGGGCCGAGC